CAAGACAUAUUAUAGGGUGGAAAAAACAUACAGAUAAGAAAGAACAUUGUCACAUUAUUUGUGCCUGUCAAAAACUAGCAUAUAUUACAGUUUAUAUGGUAGAAUAAAUAUUCACCCCAAGAUGUGUUUAGCAUCAAGCUCAAUAUUAACCUCAGUUUGGUUCUUCAGAAAUAGAAAUCUACAUUCUAAAAGUGAAGCAAAAC
rnacentral:lncRNA from 1 species